GACGAACGCUGGCGGCGUGCUUAACACAUGCAAGUCGUACGGAAAGGCCCUUCUUGCAGUGUACUCGAGUGGCGAACGUGUGUGUAACACGUGUGUGAUCUGCCCUGCACUUCGGGAUAAGCCUGGGAAACUUGGUCUAAUACCGUAUAUGAUCCUUCUUUAUUGUGGUGGUUGGAAAGUUUUUUCGGUGUAGGAUGGACUCGCGGCCUAUCAGCUUGUUGGUGGGGUAGUGGCCUACCAAGGCGGCGACGGGUAGCCGGCCUGAGAGGGUGAACGGCCACAUUGGGACUGAGAUACGGCCCAGACUCCUACGGGAGGCAGCAGUGGGGAAUAUUGCACAAUGGGCGCAAGCCUGAUGCAGCGACGCCGCGUGGGGGAUGACGGCCUUCGGGUUGUAAACCCCUUUCGCUAGGGACGAAGCUUUUUGUGACGGUACCUAGAUAAGAAGCACCGGCUAACUACGUG
rnacentral:rRNA from 1 species